ACAGCUAGCUGGUUAAGUGGUAUUGAGAGUGAGUGAAUCACGACUUAAGAGUUAUAGAAAAUUAAGCUAGGUCAGAGAUGUUGAGAAAUACGCUAGCAUAAGUGAUUGGCAGUGAUUAAUUACUGAUGCCAACUCGUUAGUACUGUGGAAGCUACAAAAAAGUUGAUGAUAACAUGCAAAAGUGGUACUUUGAUGAUAUAUUCCUUACAUGAUGCUGGUAUACAAGCACAAGUGAGAAGGCAACUGGCUAACUCACCAUAACAGUAACUAAUCACUUGAGAGUUUUGGUUAUGGUUUUGGACUAGCCUGGAAAGUUGCAUAGAUUGACCAAUAAAGUGUUAGAACUACUUGUGGACAGUUAGGAACACUAUUUGAAAGAUUAACAGAAUACACAGAAAAUAUGGGUUAAAAACUCAUGUCUGAAGCCCAAAAAUCAGUUGCUUUUAGUUUUUCAAGAGUUUUUCAGUUUUUGUUCAAGUUGUUCUAGUUGAACUUUGCCACUAUGAGCCUGAAGAUCUCCAACCUCCAAAAGUAUAUUGGCUCAACUCUGUUGAGUUCACCUACUAGAUAGUGAUGGCAAUUCCAGAAUUGUGGCUGUUAGCAGGAGAAUCGGAUCCAUGUGCUCUAAUGAAACUGACUAUAUUCAAGACAUUAUACAGAGAAAAUCAAGAUCCAUGCCUUUGGUUGUACAUUAUUCAUCGCUUAAAGUUUUAUCUUCUCCCCUGGUCCAAUUUCAUAAAGAUUUCAAGCUUACUAAACACAACAUUCGCCUAUCAUGCUGAAAGCUUCCCUGUACACUCAGAAAACCGCAGCUUUAAGUUCUGGAUCUGGAGGUUUCCCUUAUUCAUUUAGCAGAACGCCAGAUGCUGCUGAUUCAAGUUUGUUCGAGACAAGAAAUCCAAUCAGGACUAUAACAAGCAGUAGAUAUUUCUGCUCCAGAAGGAAUCAGAAUUACACUUUCAACUUUACUCAAGAAACUAGUGACUCAAGUUUAUCUGGGAUGAAGUCUGAUUGUCAUACCUUGCCAUUCAAAACACUUCGCUCAACGUUCAGGAAAUCAUGGAGUCAUGGUGUAGAAAUCACAAACAUCCUGCUUACAAAAUCAAGUAUCGUCUGGGUCAACAACUCAGUGUCCCUUCAGAUCUUAGUUCUAUAUUCCAUCUCUACAACAGUAACAUCAACAGAUUAUCUCAGGAAAGAGAGAAAAAUGGCACAGAAAAGUACAUCAGUCGGUUCUAAUGGUGAUAUUUAUGUAGGAGCAGCAUCAGUAAUAUACAAAACAACAAAGGACACUAAACAAAAACUUUCUUGAUGGUCGGAAACGAUAAAUACCUUCACGAAUCUCCAAACAGCAGCACAGACCAAUGUUUCGGAAUCUAGUCAUUUCCAAUAUGUCCUCAUGUACAAACCUGAACGAAAGACAGCAGCUUUCUAUAACUUAUUUAUUUAGAAGCACAAGCUGUACAACUCUGCCUAGUAAAACCAAUUUACGCACCAUGAACGUUCCUUCUUUGAAUACCUACCUUUAUCUCGAUCAAGGUAAAGAGAUUUUGGAUAUAAGUUCAUCUCAUCAACUUGUCUCUAAAGUGAAAAUCCGAGCUGCAAGAAGGCGCGUCUUGACAGAGAUUCUGACUGCAUGCACUAAGCGCCCUAACCACUAACUCAAAAAAAUCUCUCUGUUGCUAUUUUGCAUGUCUUAGAAAUUGUAUAUAUUUAGAAAAGAAUAAAUAAUGUUUUUUGUUUUUGUUUU